GGUCUAACACGUAGUGGGGGGGUUUCUGAAAAGUUUUUGUUUGUGAAUGCAACUGAUGAAAUUAAAAAAUAAAAAUUAAACACAUUCGAACAUCAUAGAAAGCAUUAAAGGGAGUGAAAAUGAUAAAUCCAAUACUAGAGCAAACAAAUAUUUACGCACAGUUAAAACUAUUAAAAUGCAACACUAAAUUAAGAAAAUGAAAAAAACAACUGAAAAUACAAUGCAAGAUAUUUUAAAGCAAAAGAAAUAAGUAAACAUAAUUUUUUUUUCUACCAUUCACAUGACCUAGGUACCUAGU
rnacentral:lncRNA from 1 species